rnacentral:tRNA from 1 species
UCCCUGGUGGUCCAGUGGGUGAGACUCCACACUCUCAAUGCAGGGGGCCUGGGUUUGAUCCCUGGUCAGGGAA